rnacentral:rRNA from 1 species
UGGGGAAUAUUGCACAAUGGGCGCAAGCCUGAUGCAGCCAUGCCGCGUGUGUGAAGAAGGCCUUCGGGUUGUAAAGCACUUUCAGCGGGGAGGAAGGCGGUGAGGUUAAUAACCUCAUCGAUUGACGUUACCCGCAGAAGAAGCACCGGCUAACUCCGUGCCAGCAGCCGCGGUAAUACGGAGGGUGCAAGCGUUAAUCGGAAUUACUGGGCGUAAAGCGCACGCAGGCGGUCUGUCAAGUCGGAUGUGAAAUCCCCGGGCUCAACCUGGGAACUGCAUUCGGAACUGGCAGGCUAGAGUCUUGUAGAGGGGGGUAGAAUUCCAGGUGUAGCGGUGAAAUGCGUAGAGAUCUGGAGGAAUACCGGUGGCGAAGGCGGCCCCCUGGACAAAGACUGACGCUCAGGUGCGAAAGCGUGGGGAGCAAACAGG